AGCUAACGCGAUAAGUAUUCCGCCUGGAAGGUACGGCCGCAAGGUUAAACUCAAAGGAAUUGACGGGGGCCCGCACAAGCGGUGGAGCAUGUGGUUUAAUUCGAUGCCAACGCGAAGAACCUUACCUGGGCUUGACAUGUCUGGAAUCCUGCAGAGAUGCGGGAGUGCCCUUCGGGGAAUCAGAACACAGGUGCUGCAUGGCUGUCGUCAGCUCGUGUCGUGAGAUGUUGGGUUAAGUCCCGCAACGAGCGCAACCCUUGUCCUUAGUUGCCAGCGGUUCGGCCGGGCACUCUAGGGAGACUGCCGGUGACAAACCGGAGGAAGGUGGGGAUGACGUCAAGUCCUCAUGGCCUUUAUGUCCAGGGCUACACACGUGCUACAAUGGCGCGUACAGAGGGAAGCCAAGCCGCGAGGUGGAGCAGACCCCAGAAAGCGCGUCGUAGUUCGGAUUGCAGUCUGCAACUCGACUGCAUGAAGUCGGAAUCGCUAGUAAUCGCGGAUCAGCAUGCCGCGGUGAUACGUUCCCGGGC
rnacentral:rRNA from 1 species